GCUUAGCAUGAAGUGAAGCACAUACACCUGCUGAAUUUAAGCAUAUAAGUAAGUGGUGGAAAUUAAACCAAAUGGGAUAUCUUUAGUAAUUGCGAAUGAACAAGGAUAUGCUUAGCUUGACAAAUGGAGCUAUUGGCUUUGAAUUGUAUUUGUGGAAUGUAUUACCAACAGAGGUGCAGGUGCCAGCCUAUUAAAUAAAGCGUCAAUGAGGGUGAGAAUCCUGUUUGUCAUGUGCAGCCCUUUGUGCACGGUGUAUAUUUGCUGAGUCACACUCCUUGGCAUUGGAAUGCAAAGUGGGUGGUAAGUUUCAUGUACAGGUAAACAUGCAAUUGAGACUGAUAGCACACAAGUACCAUGAGGGAAAUAUGAAAAGGACUUUGAAAAGAGAAUUAAAUGAGUUUGUAUUUGCUGAACACAAAGUAAACAGACUUGAUUUGCUUGGUGGGAGUGUUGCACUUGCUUGACAAGAGCUUUGGGCUGUGGGUGUAAUGAUUCUUUCUUUGCAUGCCAGUUUCUAUGUGUACAUCUGAUUACCUUUGCACAUGAAUGAUAAGUCUCCUGUGGGGGGUGGAUUGCGUGUGCAUGUAAUGAUUUGUGUUUUGAUAAAUGUGUCUGGUGUAUGUGUGUGUGUUCCUGUGCUUGGGGAUGCUUCCUUCCUUGGACUUACAAGCCCUGACACACACAUGCUGGCAAAAUGCUUCUGCUUGACCCGUCUUGAAACACGGACCAAGGAGUCUAACAGAUGUGCAAAGUUUGAAGGUGGUAUACCUUUGUGUGCAAUGAAAGUGUCAGCUGGGAUAUGUGCACCAGCACCCAAUUAAUUAGCGGACAGAGGUUUGAGUUGGAGCAUAUCUAUUAGGACCCGAAAGAUGGUGAACUAUGCCUGAACAGAAUGAAUUCAGAGGAAACUCUGAUGGAGGUUCGUAUCGAUACUGACGUGCAAAUCGUUCGU
rnacentral:rRNA from 1 species